rnacentral:rRNA from 1 species
UCCGUAGGGUGAACCUGCGGAAGGAUCAUUACCGAGUGUAGGGUUCCUAGCGAGCCCAACCUCCCACCCGUGUUUACUGUACCUUAGUUGCUUCGGCGGGCCCGCCAUUCAUGGCCGCCGGGGGCUCUCAGCCCCGGGCCCGCGCCCGCCGGAGACACCACGAACUCUGUCUGAUCUAGUGAAGUCUGAGUUGAUUGUAUCGCAAUCAGUUAAAACUUUCAACAAUGGAUCUCUUGGUUCCGGCAUCGAUGAAGAACGCAGCGAAAUGCGAUAACUAGUGUGAAUUGCAGAAUUCCGUGAAUCAUCGAGUCUUUGAACGCACAUUGCGCCCCCUGGUAUUCCGGGGGGCAUGCCUGUCCGAGCGUCAUUGCUGCCCAUCAAGCACGGCUUGUGUGUUGGGUCGUCGUCCCCUCUCCGGGGGGGACGGGCCCCAAAGGCAGCGGCGGCACCGCGUCCGAUCCUCGAGCGUAUGGGGCUUUGUCACCCGCUCUGUAGGCCCGGCCGGCGCUUGCCGAACGCAAAUCAAUCUUUUCCAGGUGACCUCGGAUCAGGUAGGGAUACCCGCUGAACUUAAGCAUAUCAAUAA